GUGUUUUCCUGUUGCUGUGUUGUGUAUGUUAAUUUACCUAUACCCCCUGAGAAGAAAACUUUGCUGACUCCUCUUUGUUUUAUUUCUGCUGUGUCAUUUCAUCUUAUUUUCGCAGUUGAGUCCAGGGUGUCAAAUGCCUCCCUAACCAGGCUCAGAGGGACUUCAGUGGAGCUGCAGCAGAGAUCUGCCUAAGUUGGGCCAAGCCGCUGCCACAACCACCACCAUGCACGCAUACCUACACUGAAGAGGGGAAACUUCUUUUGGCCUGUGAAGGAGGACACCUUAACCAGUCUCAGCCCUUGCCCUGCCCAGCCCAGUGCAGAGGAGAAACAAGAGGAAGAGAGAUCUUUCCUAUCUUUCCACUCCAGGAAGACAAACAGCUUUCCCUUAAAUGAGAAGAAUCCAGGGUUUUCAUAGCUAAUUCUUGCACCCUACUUCAGUGGGUCUAUCAGCCUUGGUCUCAUCUUCUGAAUGAAGGAGGGAUCAAGGAAAGCAGGCCUGGCUCUUGCUCUUCUCCUCUGCUGUAAC